UGCGUAGGUGGUAUGGCAAGUCAGAAGUGAAAACCCAGGGCUUAACUCUGGGACUGCUUUUGAAACUGUCAGACUGGAGUGCAGGAGAGGUAAGCGGAAUUCCUAGUGUAGCGGUGAAAUGCGUAGAUAUUAGGAGGAACAUCAGUGGCGAAGGCGGCUUACUAGACUGAAACUGACACUGAGGCACGAAAGCGUGGGAGCAAACA
rnacentral:rRNA from 1 species